GUGAUUCCCAGGGGGUUCCCAUAGAAACGCUUUUCUCCGGUCCAGUCUGAGGGGUCUGAGGUUGGCGGCGAUGGGCAGCAGCGGCGGGUGGCCUUGGCUUUUGCUGCAGCCGUCAACGACCUGUCAUCGGGGUCCUGCGUAAGGUCCGGCUGGCUGGGGCUUGGCUGUGGGUGGGAUGGACUGGCUGCCGGACCGAGUCCCCUGCAGUUGGCAGGAGUAUGAGGCGGAGUGAUGCACACCCGGGCGCCCAGCAUCCUUCUAAUUGCCGAAGACGUUGCCUCGGACUGUGCGCUGCCAGGGGCUGCGUUCCUGAGCAGGAAGCCCGUUUCCUGGGGUUGGAACUACCCUACUUGUCCAGCGGGAGGUCCCCAAGGACGGAGUCGAAAGGUCAAAUCUUAUCUGUCAGUGCUGUGUGACAGCAUCGCGACGGGAUCUGCAGAACCUGAACUCGAUCCGUAAUGCCUCCUGCCUGCCUCUUUCAAGAUGGAGGAGAAACCUGUGGGAGAACCUACUCAAGUGGUGUCUAAAUUCAAACUUUCCACCAAGGUAGAAAGUACGGGACACUGGCUGGUGGAAGAUCAUGCUCGAAUAUGGGAAGUUUUAAAGACAGAGGAGAGCUCGAUUCAGGACUGGGGUGAAGAGGUAGAGGAAGGAGCUGUUUACCAUGUCACCCUCAAAAGAGUCCAGAUUCAACAGGCUGCCAAUAAAGGAGCAAGAUGGCUGGGGGUUGAAGGGGACCAGCUGCCUCCAGGACACACAGUCAGUCAAUACGAGACCUGUAAGAUCAGGACCAUAAAAGCUGGUACCUUGGAGAAGCUUGUGGAGAACCUGCUGACAGCUUUUGGGGACAAUGACUUUACCUAUAUCAGCAUCUUUCUGUCAACGUACAGAGGCUUUGCCUCCACUAAAGAAGUGCUGGAACUGCUGCUGGACAGGUAUGGAAACCUGACAAGCCCAAACUGUGAAGAAGAUGGAAGCCAAAGUUCAUCAGAGUCCAAAAUGGUGAUCAGGAAUGCAAUCGCUUCAAUACUGAGGGCCUGGCUUGACCAGUGUGCAGAAGACUUCCGAGAGCCCCCUCACUUCCCUUGCUUACAGAAACUGCUGGAUUAUCUCACACGGAUGAUGCCGGGCUCUGACCCAGAAAGAAGAGCACAGAAUCUUCUUGAGCAGUUUCAGAAGCAAGAAGUGGAAACUGACAAUGGGCUUUCCAACACGAUCUCCUUCAGCCUGGAAGAGGAAGAGGAACUGGAGGGUGGAGGGUCAGCAGAAUUCACGUGCUUCACAGAAGAUCUCGUGGCAGAGCAGCUGACCUACAUGGAUGCCCAACUCUUCAAGAAAGUAGUGCCUCACCACUGCCUGGGCUGCAUCUGGUCUCGAAGAGAUAAGAAGGAAAACAAACAUUUGGCUCCUACGAUCCGUGCCACCAUCUCUCAGUUUAAUACCCUCACCAAAUGUGUUGUCAGCACCAUCCUGGGGGGCAAAGAACUCAAAACUCAGCAGAGAGCCAAAAUCAUCGAGAAGUGGAUCAACAUCGCUCAUGAAUGUAGACUCCUGAAGAAUUUUUCUUCCUUGAGGGCCAUCGUUUCGGCACUGCAGUCUAAUUCCAUCUAUCGGUUAAAAAAGACUUGGGCUGCCGUCCCAAGGGAUCGAAUGCUGAUGUUUGAAGAACUUUCAGAUAUCUUCUCAGACCAUAACAACCAUUUGACCAGCCGAGAGCUACUGAUGAAGGAAGGAACCUCAAAAUUUGCAAACCUGGAUAGCAGUGUGAAAGAAAACCAGAAGCGUACCCAGAGGCGGCUGCAGCUCCAGAAGGACAUGGGUGUGAUGCAGGGAACCGUGCCCUACCUGGGCACCUUCCUGACCGACCUGACCAUGCUUGACACUGCCCUGCAGGACUACAUCGAGGGUGGACUGAUAAACUUUGAGAAAAGGAGAAGGGAAUUUGAAGUCAUUGCCCAGAUAAAGCUCUUACAGUCGGCCUGCAACAGCUAUUGUAUGACCCCAGACCAAAAGUUCAUCCAGUGGUUCCAGAGGCAGCAGCUCCUGACAGAGGAGGAGAGCUAUGCCCUGUCAUGUGAGAUUGAAGCAGCUGCCGACACCAGCACCACCUCGCCAAAGCCUCGGAAGAGCAUGGUGAAGAGACUCAGCCUGCUGUUUCUGGGGUCUGACUUUAUCACCAGUCCCACUUCCACCAAGGAGCAGUCCAAGUCCACUGCCAGCGGGAGCUCUGGCGAAAGCAUGGAUUCUGUCAGCGUGUCGUCCUGCGAGUCGAACCACUCAGAGGCGGAGGAGGGCUCCAUGACUCCCAUGGACACCCCUGAUGAGCCUCAAAAAAAGCUCUCUGAGUCCUCCUCAUCCUGCUCUUCCAUCCAUUCCAUGGACACAAAUUCCUCAGGGAUGUCUUCCUUAAUCAACCCCCUCUCCUCGCCUCCGUCCUGCAACAACAACCCCAAAAUCCACAAGCGCUCUGUCUCGGUGACGUCCAUUACCUCGACUGUGCUGCCUCCCGUUUACAACCAACAGAACGAAGACACCUGCAUCAUCCGCAUCAGUGUGGAAGACAACAACGGCAACAUGUACAAGAGCAUCAUGUUGACGAGCCAGGAUAAGACCCCCGCGGUGAUCCAGAGAGCCAUGCUGAAGCACAAUCUGGACUCAGACCCCGCCGAGGAGUACGAGCUGGUGCAGGUCAUCUCGGAGGAUAAAGAACUUGUGAUUCCAGACUCAGCAAACGUCUUUUAUGCCAUGAACAGCCAGGUGAACUUUGACUUCAUUUUGCGCAAAAAGAACUCCAUGGAAGAACAAGUGAAACUGCGUAGCCGGACCAGCUUGACUUUGCCCAGGACAGCUAAACGGGGCUGCUGGAGUAACAGACACAGCAAAAUCACCCUCUGAAGGGAGGGACCCAUGGCCCCUUGUUUGCUAAAGGCAGAGCGGGGCUGAGAACAGGCUGUGGUGAUUGCAAUUACCAUCCAGUGUUCAAGGAUCAUGGGUGAAGUCAGCAGAUAUUUAUUCAGUUCCUGUGGUGUGCAAAGCACUAUGAUAGGCAUUGUGGGGAAAUUGGAAGUGAAUUUGACAUGAAGAGGGUGAACGAUUCACUGAUUCUCUGACUUAUUUCAGACUAAAAUGCAGAAUUACCCACACUUAAAAUAUAUAUAUGCACACAUGUUUGGUAUGUAUGUGUAUAUAUAUAAAAAUAUGUAAGAGGGACUUUAUGGGAUAUUAUGGACUAUGGAAAACCAAAUUUGCACAAUGGCCUGGGAAGUUGAGGUCACUUUUUACAGGGAAAUAGAAGAAACUGAGAACCUAGUCUCAUAUUCUUCCGAGUAAAUGGAGUCAGUCCUGGGAAUAGAGAGUGUCCUUUGUGCCAGUAUUACAAGAAGCCCAAACUUUAUUUUUAUAAAGGGAGAGGAUGACUUUCUCAAUCAAGUGCCACCAGAUAAAACAACUGCAGAGGCUGGAACUGCCACAGGCUGCAUGAAAGGCCACUUUGGAAGGGGUUUGGAUGAGCCAGUGGCCUUCAACCUCUGCCUGCAUCCGCCACUUUCUGCUACCCCAGGGAGGCCAGGAGGAGCUUCGGAGGCCCAUCGCCCCACUGGCCUAGCCAUCACAAUGCCUCUGGAAGUGCCAAGCUCCUGAAACAAACUCAUUUCAGUUUCUGGCAACCCCUUGUAUUUCUGUUUCUCCCUUAAAGAACAUAUCAUAAUCAUUGCACAAAUAACGAUGUUCUUUGGUAACGUAGCCAGAAAAGAAAGCGUGAAAGAACAGUGACUUAUCUGGACUCUUAUCUGUCUUGGAAUGUCACUAUUUCAUUGCCUUCUCUGAUUGCCUUUUGCAUGUAAAACUAUGUGUCUGGAGUCUUUGGCCAUCUGGAUCCAAGUACCUCUAUAUUAUGUGCAAUUUGUUCCUCAGGUGUGGAAAUUUCUACUGCGGUUGACAUUUGAUCAUUUUGAGCCUGUGAAAGAUUUCUGAAUGGUGAUUGCCCUGUUAGUAGCCCCUCAAAAGAUGUUCCGUGCUGAUAACAGCAUUCUAUUUUACUUAUUAACUUUUAUAGCAUUACUGUGCCUAGUCAUGAGGAAAGAGAUGGGGCUGCACAUAUUAUCUGAAUCAUUUCUCAAAGAGGUACAUUCUUCCAGAUGGAAUCAAUAACUUUUUUUGUUCAGGUUCCCAUGCUUGCUAUCACAGUAUGACUGCUAAGCGACAUUUUUGUCUCUCAUAACACCAUCACACUCUUCCUUCCAAGUCUGAGCUGUGCUAGGGCUUGAACUAAAAGCCAUAUGUGGAAUAUUGACAUGUGUAAGAAGCACUUUCAGAAUGUUGUCCCUCAAGAAAUAAUUCUCAAAAUGCCAGUUUUUAUUCCAAAAAUAAAGAGAACAAACCCAGAAUAUGGAGUGCACAUUGUAACAUGGAGCUACUUUCCCCCUAAUCUCAUAAUACAGCUCCUAAAAGUUGUGUGGGAUAUGUGUUAUGUGAACAGCCAUGUGAAUUCCGCAAGAAACACCAGGGAAAGUUUAGAGGUUUGUGGCAAUGGACCGAAGAGUGGGCCAGGAAGCCCUCCGAUUUCCUUUGGUCUUUCCAGGAGAUUGGGCUACAUGUUGUAAAGACAGCGACUGGGUUUCAGCUAGUCAGAAAGCACUUUGUUUUCAAUGCUUGUUCAAUUUGUGCUUCUGUGCUUGGAGGAGAGAUGGCCAGGGUGGCAGCCCUCAUGCAGACUGAAGCAUUUGUAGCCUCAGCCCGGCAUUCUUGGUGUGAAGGAACUGGGCCUGGGGACAUUUUGCCUGAAGGAAUAUUGUCUUAAACCUGUCUUCUCUGGAGCAUUUGCAACUUACAAGUCAUGUAGUCAGUGGCCUGUUAUUACAGAUACGGGGCUGAGGCGCAGACCAGUUAAGUUGCCCUAGUUUAGGGACAGAGCUCCGGAUCAUCAGCCCCACUCUGAACCUAUACAGUGGGCCGGGCACGGAAUGGAGGAGGCUCUCCUGACAGACACCCCACAGCCUCCCGGAGCUGGAGAGAAUCCCUGAGAUAUGCGGGCUCCAUCCCAGCCUUCCCGUCACGUGAAUUCACACAAACUGCCUCCCUCAGCUGGGCACCUGGGGAUAAGGGUUUGACAUCCAUGUUUCUGCCAGGACACAGAGACUCUGACGUGUUAUAUACAAGAGAACAAAGAGCUCCGCUUUUACUGAGGACAAAAGAUAAAAUGAACUGGAGGCAGCACAGGAAAUCUCAACAGCUAAAAUGAAGACAAUCUGCUGAAGAGAUCACCCAGCAACUGAGAGAAGGGGCCAAGGUCAGAGCCUGCGCUGCUCCAUUAAUGAAUUUAGGAGUCAUUCAUUGAUGAUUCAGGAGCUGCUGUUAUGUGUAGCUGCUGUUAUGUGUAGCAUUUGGACUAGGAUCUAAGGACACAGAGGCGUAAGACUGUUCCUGCCCCAAAGGGUUUGUAGUUUAUUGGGGAGACUGACCGGUAAACCAAUCAUUGCUACACCUUUUGCUAAGAGCUACGUCAGGGGAAGCUCCUGGGCUAUGGGAGCCCUGAGCAUCACAGUGCCUUCUUCCAUUGACAUCAUGCUCAGGUAUCACGUCCACAUGCCCUGACCCUCUUACACACCCUUAUGAUCCCAGGAAUCACAAUAUAUUGUCAUGAUUUGUUCAUGAGUCUCAAUUCCUGAACGGAUUGUGAGCUCUGCAAAGAUGGGUACCUCUGCCUAGCCAACAGUACACACAAUGACCUGAGCCAGAGGAACUGGAAAUUUUGAGGUGCUUAGGAAGACGUCCUUCACCUUGAGGAGCAUCAGGUUAUGGAAGUAAGAAGAGCAAAGACAAGGGGACCAAGCACAUUACAUUCAGUUCAACUACAAACUGGGUAUUACAAGAAUCACUGGGCAGGACACCCACUAUCUCUGCCUCACCUUCCCAUCUAUACAAAGGGAUAAUCACCUGAGUCAGGCUCUCUUAAUAUUAAUAAUGAGAAGAUCAUUUAGGAAGGCAGUACACUUUAGAAAAUAUCAAGAACUACCAGAAUCGGAGAGCAUAAUUCAUGAAGAGGCUGUGCCCAAGAGAGGGCAGGCAGUUCGGGGAGACUCACACAGGAUGCUUGUUGUACAUGAUUGGCAGAAACUCAUCCACUGGCAGCAUCUUCCCAAAAGGAUUGGCUCCAACCAGCUUCUGUGCCCCUUCCAGAGAGAUGACGUAGCCCAGGGUCCAGUAGGAAUAGUCGGCUUCGACCAGGUUUUCCACACUGGGCACUGCUUUCUCUGGCUCCUUGACUUGCAUCCUCUUCCUACCAAUAUAACUACAUGGAAACAGCAGGGGAGAAAAAUUCCACCUUGAAUAUUAGGCUGGGAUAAGGAUGGAGCACAGCUUUGGUUUACAUAGAUACUUUUGCAAUCCUGGACUGUCUGUCAUUAAAUGACGUUUCACGUCCCCAAGUGGAUCCUGUCACCAGUCAUGACUGCCAUCUGCCAUCACUGGGGCCAUUUUUCUGGCUUCAUUUACCAGCACCCCCACUAUACCUGUCUAGUGGACUGUUUUCAAGCCAGAAAGUAAGACGUAGUGAGAUUAAAAGAUCUUUCAGCUCAUUUAUCAAAGAUGGGAUGGGGUUUCAUGUUGUUUACAGAGGUUGGAAAGGCACAAAAAAGGCCAGAUGGGAGAAUCCUGAACCUGCUGUCUUCAGGUCCCCAGAGUUAGCAGCCUCGGGUGCCUUCUGCACAGGGCUGAAAAAGCUGGGGGAAAGUGUCAGUCUGCAGAACCCCGGAGCGGCCGAAGGGGUUUCUCCUGGGGAAUAUGAAUGACAGCUCCUGACAGACAUUCUCCUGCCUCACACUCGCCAGCUGUGACCAGGCUUCCUCCUGACACGCUGCUCCAAGAAAGGCCCCCAGGCACCUUCUGUCCUCCGUGAAUAACUUCUGCAAUGUGGGGUGCCCCUUGGGCCGCUCUUCCCUAGUCUACCCAUGGACCCAUGCUCCAUCACUUUUGUCUGGAACCUGCAGGUAUGGGCUUGACGGGAGCUGCCUGCUUCUUGCCUGCUGGGUAAAGCAGGACUUCCUCUAUUUUACCCUAAAACAACCUCUUUCAACAGUCAAGGGAUUCCCUCUUGUCAAAGCAUCCCAGAAUUUAUAGAACAAGUCUAUGUUCAAAUGUCAGUUCUAAGGACAGCAAACAUACAUCCCCAACCACUGUCUCUUCAGAUUACAGAGUCUGAUCUUUUCUGGUGUCUCAUCCACUGGAAGGGAAACUUUUAUGGAGCACUUGGGAGGUACUAGAGUGAUAGGGGCUAUAAAGUCAAGAGUUAAUGCUCUAACUUUAAUUAAUUUAAUUUUAAAUGUUGAAGCUAUGUGAAAUAUAUAUAUAUUUUCACGAAACAAGUUGUUUUGGUAGGACUAUAGUUUAACAGCUGUAAAUUUAGCUUCUGGAUUUAGAUGUGUUCUAGGUGUAAAAUACAUACCAGAUUUUGAAGACUUGGUAUGAAAAAAAAAGAGAAGGGAA